GAUGAACGCUGGCGGCGUGCCUAAUACAUGCAAGUAGAACGCUGAAGGAGGAGCUUGCUCUUCUGGAUGAGUUGCGAACGGGUGAGUAACGCGUAGGUAACCUGCCUGGUAGCGGGGGAUAACUAUUGGAAACGAUAGCUAAUACCGCAUAACAUCAGUUGUUGCAUGAUAAUUGUUUAAAAGGGGCAGUUGCUCCACUACCAGAUGGACCUGCGUUGUAUUAGCUAGUUGGUGAGGUAACGGCUAACCAAGGCGACGAUACAUAGCCGACCUCGCAGGGGGAUCGGCCCACCUGGGAAGGGGGCACGGCCCAGAACCCUACGGGAGGGAGCCGGAGGGGACUCUUGCGAAUGGAAGGAAGGCUGAACGAGAAACGCCGGGGGAAGGAAGGAGGUUUUCGGGUCGUAAAGCUCUGGUGUAAGAGAAGAACGAAUGUGAGAGUGAAAAGUGCACACUGUGACGGUACCUUACCAGAAAGCGACGGCUAACUACGUG
rnacentral:rRNA from 1 species